rnacentral:pre_miRNA from 1 species
CAACUACUCCCUCCGUUCGGAAUUACUUGUCGCAGAUAUGGAUGUAUCUAGACGUAUUUUAGUUCUAGAUACAUCCAUUUCUGAGACAAGUAAUUCCGAACAGAGGGAGUAGUUG